rnacentral:rRNA from 1 species
UACGUAGGGGGCGAGCGUUGUCCGGAAUCAUUGGGCGUAAAGCGCGUGUAGGCGGCCCGGUAAGUCCGCUGUGAAAGUCGGGGGCUCAACCCUCGAAUGCCGGUGGAUACUGUCGGGCUAGAGUACGGAAGAGGCGAGUGGAAUUCCUGGUGUAGCGGUGAAAUGCGCAGAUAUCAGGAGGAACACCAAUUGCGAAGGCAGCUCGCUGGGACGUUACUGGACGCUGGAGACGCGAAAGCGUGGGGAGCAAACAGG